GGCUGGUGAGUGCAGGGGUAUUUACAACUAAUUGACCACAACCAGUUACAGAUUUUGUUCCUUGCUCACUCCUACUGGUUCACUUGAGUAGCCUUAA
rnacentral:Y_RNA from 1 species